GUGAAUUGCAUUAAUCUAAAGUACUGCAGAGAUGAAACUUAAAGCAGGAAGCAACAUACCAUGAGUGUACUGGAAGGGAACACAUUUGUGUCAUGUGAAGAGACAUGACAAAAACAGCCCUUCUUAAAUUAUUUGUGGCAGUAGUGAUCACAUUCAUUUUAAUUUUGCCGGAAUAUUUCAAGACACCAAAAGAAAGAACAUUGGAGCUAUCAUGUCUGGAAGUGUGUUUACAAUCUAAUUUUACCUAUUCACUCUCCUCCUUAAACUUUUCUUUUGUGACUUUUCUGCAAUCAGUAAGGGAAACUCAAAUUAUCAUGAGAAUCUUUCUAAAUCCCUCCGAUUUUCAUAACUUCACCAGGACUUGCCAAGACAUCACAGGUGAAUUUAAAAUGUGCUCCUUGUGUUUGGUUUGUGAGUCUCAAGGAAACAUGGAUUUUAUUUCUCAGGAACAAACACCAAAAGUUCUUAUCAGGAGAGGAUCAAUGGAAGUGAAAGCAAAUGAUUUUCAUUCACCUUGUCAGCACUUUAACUUCACCGUAGCUCCUCUGGUUGACCACUUGGAGGAAUAUAACACUACCUGUCAUCUUAAAAACCACACUGGAAGAUCAGCAAUCAUGGAGGAUGAGCCAAGCAAGGGGAAAUCUAUAAACCGUACUUGUAGAAUCAUGGAAUACCCGAACGAUUGUAUACACAUUUCUUUGCACCUAGAGAUGGAUGUAAAAGAUAUCACUUGUUCCAUGAAGAUCACUUGGUAUAUUUUAGUUCUAUUAGUUUUUAUGUUUUUGAUCAUCCUCACUAUCCGCAAAAUACUUGAAGGCCACAGAAGAGUGCAGAAGUGGCAGAGUCACAGAGACAAACCUACAUCUGUUCUCUUAAGAGGAAGUGAUUCGGAGAAACUGAGAGCAUUGAAUGUGCAGGUUAUUUCAGCAGAGACCACGCAGAGGCUGCCUUUGGAUGAAGUCCAGGAAGUGCUUCCCCCAAUACCAGAACUAUAAGUUACUUCCGCAGUGUAUCCGUGAGAUCAAUAUACACGAAUAUCCCUGGGCACCUUGGACUGAGCCCUUUGAAGAAUACUCAUAAUUUUAUUUUGUGAAUGAGUAGACUGGAAAAUGUUUGGGUCCAGCUGAGGAUGCACAGUUGGAAAGCAAGAGGAAUGCUGACUGGUUGAUGAAAACUAGCUUAAGAGCAUUCAUUUGACCCAUGAGAUCAAGGGAACAAGAGUAUUUGCAAGAAGCCAUUAUGAGUCAUGGAAAACAAGAUGAUGAAACCCAUGGAAACAGCAAGAGAAUUCCUACUCUUUCUCUUCUUAAAAAAAUCUAUCACAUACAGCACAGAAUGGAGUCAAGAUUUUAAUUUUGAGGAACUAAAAAAAGGAUCAAAUAUGAAAACCCUUUCUUUUAUUGGGCCACAUUGGUUAACUGCAGGGUCAGAUUUAAUAAUCAGUGAUGGGGUUGAGGACAUGCUACCCCAAAAUAUGGCACCUUGGCGAACUGAAUGUUUUAAGCUGAAGGAUUUGAGAAAAUGGCAAAUUUUAAGUGGAAAUAUUACUCUGACCUUCCUUUGCCACCUUUCUCCCCGGAAGCAGAUACUGUGAAGCACACAAAGAUGUAGAUGGCCUACACUGCCUACAGAGAAUUUACACUCUGGCAGAGGAGACAGGAUGUGUACGCCUCUGGUGAAAAUACUAGACACAAUACGGUAAGCUAAGUGUCAAUUGCAGGAUGCAGGCUUCCUGCUGAGAAUAUAUAAGCCAAUAGGAUCAAUUCCAGUUGGGAGGAAUUAGGGCAGGCUUUUGAGCAGGGUUUUGAAGAUGGCUUUUCCUGAUUUCUCAGAAUCACCAAACCUCUUAAAUACACACGUUCUCAGCCCCCAUAACUGUUUUCAUACCUAUUACUUUGCCAUUAUUUUUGUGGUUACAAAUUAAUGUCUGGCUUCCUUUCUAGACUGGAAGCUGCAUGAGGACAGGGAACAUGUCUGGUUCUGCUCACCAUAGUAUCCCCAGCAGCUGGUAGGGUGUUUGGCUCACAGUAGGUACUUUGUAAAUAUUUGCUGGGUAAAGAACUAGGCCGGGUGCAGUGGCUCACACCUGUAAUCCCAGCA